UGGUGGCGAUAGCGAAGAGGUCACACCCGUUCCCAUACCGAACACGGAAGUUAAGCUCUUUAGCGCCAAUGGUAGUUGGGACUUUGUCCCUGUGAGAGUAGGACGUUGCCAGGCU
rnacentral:rRNA from 5 species